CCUACGGGAGGCAGCAGUGAGGAAUAUUGGUCAAUGGGCGCGAGCCUGAACCAGCCAAGUAGCGUGAAGGAUGACUGCCCUACGGGUUGUACACUUCUUUUAUAAUGGAAUAAAGUGAGGCACUUGUGCCUUUUUUUAUGUACUUUAUGAAUAAGGUUCGGCUAACUCCGUUCCAGCAGCCGCGUUAAUACGGAGGAUCCGAGAGUUAUCCGGAUUGAUUGGGUUUAAGGGGCGCGUAGAUGGGUUGUAAAGUUAGUUGUGAACGUUUGCGGCUCAACCGUAAAAGUGAAAUUGAUACUGGCAGUCUUGAGUACAGUAGAGGUAGGCGGAAUUCGUGGUGUAGCGGUGAAAUGCUUAGAUAUCACGAAGAACUCCGAUGGCGAAGGCAGCUUACUAAACUGCCACUGACAUUGAUGCUCGAAAGUGUGGGUAUCAAACAGGAUUAGAUACCCCUGUAGUC
rnacentral:rRNA from 1 species